rnacentral:lncRNA from 1 species
UGGCAUUCCCUGGAAUUCAGCAUGUGGAUUCAUAGCUCAUCAUAGCAGCCUACUUGGGGGAAAAGCUUUGUAAUGCUCCUCUUGGGAACUGUCCAACUCACAGACAGCUCUAAAAAAGGAGAAAGAGAGAACCCUCUCAGCACCUGCCUCUGCCUUUAGCCACUUCCUGGGAGACUUUCCAACUGCACCCAAGGUGCAUGAUGUCUCAGCCCCCAGUGGGGAAUGUGGACCAAGGGGCCGUUUCCACCCUGGGCUUUCAGCAUUCGACACGGCCUAGGGGCCCCAGAACAGGUGCCUCCACAUGCGCCUCCAGCUCAGCGCUCUCCUUUUCGGUGUGUCUUGCCUCCUCUGUUCACCUCAGGCUGCGAUCAGCCAUAGGGAAGAGAUGACCAGAAUCCUUUCUGCUGUCUUCUGACACUGCCUGGCUGACCCUGCCUCACUCUGGCCUGCCCUUGACCUGGAUGGGGAAAUGGCUGCAGGCUGAUGGGCCAGCCAGGGACACCUCUGUGCACACUGAUGUGAGGCCAUGUCCCAUUCCCGGCUUGCUGGUUGUGUCCGAGGUCUAUGCUAACUGACCACAAUUUCUGCAGCCUUUCUGCUGACGGUUCAGCUCCAAGAAAGCUGUCUGGGGUGAAUUUCCAGCUUCCCUGGGUGGGGUUGAGAUGGGAACUAUGGACCUGUCUUGCUUGGACUGAAGCGGCACCAUGCAGCUGGCCACCUGUGGCUACCUGGCCAUAGACUACAGCGUUCCCACCUCCACAUCAGCCACAGACGCAAAGAGGAGCUGGGGUUCUGCACACCAGAUGCAAAAACUGAGGUUCCUUGACAGCUGCAGUCGUUUAAAGCCAUGGUGCAGCCACCCAAUGAUGGAAUGCAUCUUUGGCAAUCUGUUUCGCCAAGCCCUCCAGGUGACUGCGAAGCACUGGAGUGAUGACCUCAUGGCUGGGGUUGUGCAGUGGUAG